UACAGAGGUCUCAAGCGUUGUUCGGAUUCAUUGGGCGUAAAGGGUGCGUAGGUGGCGGGGUAAGUCAGGUGUGAGAUCUCGGGGCUCAACCCCCGAAACUGCAUUUGAUACUGCCUUGCUCGAGUACUGGAGAGGAGAUUGGAAUUUACGGUGUAGCAGUGAAAUGCGUAGAUAUCGGGAGGAACACCAGUGGCGAAGGCGACUACCUGGCCUGUUCUUGACGCUGAGGCGCGAAAGCUAGGGGAGCAAACGGG
rnacentral:rRNA from 1 species